AGGGGAGUCGAAUGAACAAAACGUUUUGUUAUUUAAUUUUAUUUCAUCAAUGCACAUUUAAUGAGUAGUUUUGAUUUUAAAUUCGAUCCGAAACAAAAUCCAAGAUUUCGUUAUUUUUACAAUAUAGUCGAAGCCAAUACACCGUGUAUGGCGAGGGGUGCCUCUUUAUUUUAAAAUAUUUUUAUUGUUGUUUUCAAGUUUAUAAUAGGGUUGUUUUUGAAUCAAAAAUUGGUUUUAUUAGGUAAACGUGUAAUUGGUGGCAAACAAAAACAGAAAAAAACUGACAGAAUCGUGCAUGAAAUGCAAUCAAGUUGUCAGCAGCGCAACUGUUUUCCCGGAUUUUUAUGGCCGGGAUACCGUAUACGGAAUGGACGAGAACCGGAAUUGUCUCCCGGCUAGGGUGCUGCAAUGUUCAGGGGACUUCGUCAAAGCGCCGGCUGAUGGCGAAUCGCCCUAGAACAACAUCCAAGGACUGGUUGAACAGGAAUAUGUAAGCCAGUUCCGGUUCUGCAGGAGGAAGAAGCCGCGCAACGGCUACCCCGAAGAAGAAAAUUUUGUUUUCGCAUCUCGUUCGAUCCUUGGGAAAAUUUCUUCGAUCAUCCGUGCCGUGUACCUGGUCCGUGUCCUGCGAGUGAUAUAAUAUGUCAAGAGGAGCAUUCGAGACACAACAAUCAACAUCCGGGCCAAUGAGGCUGAUUUAUAAUGGGUCGCAGAUGUUGGUGCUUCGAUUGUUGGUUUUGGCUUCGGUUGGUUGCUGCUGCCGGAAGAGCUGUCCCGCGGAAACCAAAAAAAUGAAAAGGGUGGAAUAAUUUGAUAUGAAUAUAAAAA